CUGGUUGAUCCUGCCAGUAGUCAUAUGCUUGUCUCAAAGAUUAAGCCAUGCAAGUCUCAGUACAAGCCGAAUUAAGGUGAAACCGCAAAAGGCUCAUUAAAUCAGUUAUGGUUCCUUGGAUCGUACAGUUUCCUACUUGGAUACCUGUGGUAAUUCUAGAGCUAAUACAUGCAAACAGAGUCCCGACCAGAGAUGGAAGGGACGCUUUUAUUAGAUCAAAACCAAUCGGUCGGCUCGUCCGGUCCGUUUGCUUUGGUGACUCUGAAUAACUUACAGCAGAUCGCACGGUCACCGUACCGGCGAUGCAUCUUUCAAAUGUCUGCCUUAUCAACUGUCGAUGGUAGAUUUUGCGCCUACCAUGGUUGUAACGGGUAACGGGGAAUCAGGGUUCGAUUCCGGAGAGGGAGCCUGAGAAACGGCUACCACAUCCAAGGAAGGCAGCAGGCGCGCAAAUUACCCACUCCCGGCACGGGAGGUAGUGACGAAAAAUAACGAUACGGGACUCAUCCGAGGCCCCGUAAUCGGAAUGAGUACACUUUAAAUCCUUUAACGAGGAUCAAUUGGAGGGCAAGUCUGGUGCCAGCAGCCGCGGUAAUUCCAGCUCCAAUAGCGUAUAUUAAAGUUGUUGCGGUUAAAAAGCUCGUAGUCUGAUCUGUGUCCCACACUGUCGGUUCACUGCCCGUCAGUGUUUAACUGGCAUGUUGUGGGACGUCCUGCCGGUGGCGGUUCGGGGCCUUGGCGGGUUUAGGGCUUGCCCGAAGCUCGCCUUGCGCUUCCUCCGCCGAUUCAAUCCCGUCGCGGUGCUCUUUACUGAGUGUCGAGGCGGGCCGGCUCGUUUACUUUGAACAAAUUUGAGUGCUUAAAGCAGGCUAAAUUCUGCCUGAAAACUGUGUGCAUGGAAUAAUGGAAUAGGACCUCGGUUCUAUUUUGUUGGUUUUCGGAACCCGAGGUAAUGAUUAAUAGGGACAGGCGGGGGCAUUCGUAUUGCGACGUUAGAGGUGAAAUUCUUGGAUCGUCGCAAGACGGACUUAAGCGAAAGCAUUUGCCAAGUAUGUUCUCGUUGAUCAAGAACGAAAGUUAGAGGUUCGAAGGCGAUCAGAUACCGCCCUAGUUCUAACCAUAAACGAUGCCAGCCAGCGAUCCGCCGAAGUUCCUCCGAUGACUCGGCGGGCAGCUUCCGGGAAACCAAAGCUUUUGGGUUCCGGGGGAAGUAUGGUUGCAAAGCUGAAACUUAAAGGAAUUGACGGAAGGGCACCACCAGGAGUGGAGCCUGCGGCUUAAUUUGACUCAACACGGGAAACCUCACCAGGCCCGGACACUGGAAGGAUUGACAGACUGAGAGCUCUUUCUCGAUUCAGUGGUUGGUGGUGCAUGGCCGUUCUUAGUUGGUGGAGCGAUUUGUCUGGUUAAUUCCGAUAACGAACGAGACUCUAGCCUACUAACUAGGCGUCCCGGUAUUCAUAAUUUUGAACUACCGGCGAUUAUUUAUCUUCUUAGAGGGACAGGCGGCUUCUAGCCGCACGAGACUGAGCAAUAACAGGUCUGUGAUGCCCUUAGAUGUCCUGGGCCGCACGCGCGCUACACUGAAGGAAUCAACGUGUCCUCCCUGGCCGAAAGGUCCGGGUAACCCGCUGAACCUCCUUCGUGCUAGGGAUUGGGGCUUGCAAUUGUUCCCCAUGAACGAGGAAUUCCCAGUAAGAGCGAGUCAUAAGCUCGCUUUGAUUACGUCCCUGCCCUUUGUACACACCGCCCGUCGCUACUACCGAUUGAAUGAUUUAGUGAGGUCUUCGGACUGGUGCGCGGCAAUCAGCAAUGGUAGCCGAUGUUACUGGAAAGAUGACCGAACUUGAUCAUUUAGAGGAAGUAAAAGUCGUAACAAGGUUUCCGUAGGUGAACCUGCGGAAGGAA
rnacentral:rRNA from 1 species